rnacentral:tRNA from 1 species
AGUAAAAUGACUGAAUUUUAAGUGAUAAAUUGUAAAUUUAUUUAUAAGAGUAAUCUUUUUUACUA